GGCGGCGGCGGCGGCGGCGAACGCCGAGCCGCGUCCGAGCAGAGCUGCAGCGGCUGCCGCGGGCACCGGAGUGCAGAGCCCAGGACGCCCCCGGCUCAGGCCCGCGGGUGGACAAGUCCUUUGCCCCUCGCCGGAGUGUGUGGAGGAGUGAUGGGCAGAACCAGCGCUUCCCUCAGGCACUAGACCUGCCACGAGUGGACUUUGUUCCCUCCCAUACUGCUUCGCCCCACCCCAAGAACACAGAUCUGUUUGAGAUGAUUGAAAAGAUGCAGGGAAGCAGGAUGGAUGAACAACGAUGCUCCUUCCCACCACCCCUCAAAACAGAGGAGGACUACAUUCCCUACCCGAGCGUCCACGAGGUCCUGGGGCGAGAAGGGCCCUUCCCCCUCAUCCUCCUGCCCCAGUUUGGGGGCUACUGGAUUGAAGGUACCAAUCACGAAAUCACCAGCAUCCCAGAGACAGAGCCGCUGCAGUCGCCCACGACCAAGGUGAAGCUGGAGUGCAACCCCACAGCCCGCAUCUACCGAAAGCACUUUCUCGGCAAGGAGCAUUUUAAUUACUACUCACUGGACACCGCCCUGGGCCACCUUGUCUUCUCACUCAAGUAUGAUGUCAUCGGGGACCAGGAGCACCUGCGGCUGCUGCUCAGGACCAAAUGCCGGACAUACCAUGACGUCAUCCCCAUCUCCUGCCUCACCGAGUUCCCCAACGUGGUCCAGAUGGCAAAGCUGGUAUGUGAAGACGUGAAUGUGGACCGAUUCUAUCCCGUGCUCUACCCCAAGGCAUCCCGCCUCAUCGUCACCUUCGAUGAGCAUGUCAUCAGCAAUAACUUCAAGUUCGGAGUCAUUUAUCAGAAGCUUGGGCAGACCUCCGAGGAGGAACUCUUCAGCACCAAUGAGGAGAGCCCCGCCUUUGUGGAGUUCCUCGAAUUUCUUGGCCAGAAGGUCAAACUGCAGGACUUUAAGGGGUUCCGAGGAGGCCUGGACGUGACCCACGGGCAGACGGGGACCGAGUCUGUGUACUGCAACUUCCGCAACAAGGAGAUCAUGUUUCACGUGUCCACCAAGCUGCCCUACACAGAAGGGGACGCCCAGCAGUUGCAGCGGAAGCGGCACAUCGGGAACGACAUCGUGGCGGUGGUCUUCCAGGACGAGAACACGCCCUUUGUGCCCGACAUGAUCGCGUCCAACUUCCUGCACGCCUACGUGGUGGUGCAGGCUGAGGGGGGUGCCCCCGACGGCCCCCUCUAUAAGGUCUCCGUCACGGCAAGAGAUGACGUGCCCUUCUUUGGGCCACCCCUCCCGGACCCCGCUGUGUUCAGAAAGGGGCCUGAGUUCCAGGAAUUUUUGCUGACAAAACUGAUCAAUGCUGAAUAUGCUUGCUACAAGGCAGAGAAGUUUGCGAAACUGGAGGAGCGGACGCGGGCCGCCCUCCUGGAGACGCUCUAUGAGGAACUACACAUCCACAGCCAGUCCAUGAUGGGCCUGGGUGGCGACGAGGACAAGAUGGAGAACGGUGGCGGGGGCGGUGGCUUCUUCGAGUCUUUCAAGCGAGUUAUCCGGAGCCGCAGCCAGUCCAUGGAUGCCAUGGGGCUGAGCAACAAGAAGCCCAAUACUGUGUCUACCAGCCACAGCGGGAGCUUCGCGCCCAACAACCCCGACCUGGCCAAGGCAGCUGGAAUAUCAUUGCUUAUUCCUGGGAAAAGUGCGAGUAGAUUCGGACGCCGGGGCAGUGCCAUAGGCAUAGGAACCGUGGAAGAGGUUGUCGUCCGCGGGGCCGCCGGCUCUGGAGGCUGCCUGCACGCGCUGUUCUCUGCUCGCUCUCAGGACGAAGGCCAUAUUGGGGACGUUGCCCCCCUGCCCCCGGGACCGGCCCGAGGGCAGGCAGGACGGAGUGCCAGCAGCUCUGAUGGCACUCAGCACCUGCACUGGGGCCUGGUACCUGUGCCAGAGCCAGUGCCCCCCCCCCACCAGGGGCUUCUGGCCCUGCCCUGGCCCAGUCCCUGCCAGGAUCUGGUCCCGAACAACCCUAUGCCCACUGCACGUCCCCCAAUAUCGCUGGUUCUGCCUGGAGUGCCAUAGCUCUCCUGUGCCCCAGCUCCCUGCCCUGACCAUGAACUGGCCCGGGGGUUCCUGCCCCUCCGUGCCUCCCUGGGGCCCACCUCCCUGCCUCCCCAGAGAUGCUGGGGGCAUGCCUCUGGCACCUGGGUGUCCCAUGCUAGUGUGUGUGGAAACUGGGGGGCAUCUUUCUGCUGCUGGGCCAGAACCUCCCUCAGCUGGUUUGGAGAUUCCGAGGUGGGGCAGGGCUGGCAUGGGAGGGGCUUGGGUUGCUGCGCCACUCCCCCACCCCCUGCCCUUAGGCCGUGGGUUCCACGAAGCCCUGGGAGCAAUGACAGGGCAGCCAUUUUGAGGGCUUGGCCUCCUCCUGUCCCAGCCCAGAGUGGCUGUCCAGUCCCCUCGGGCCUCUGCCUUUCUCCUGGAUGACGAUCCCAGGUCCAGACCUGCUGUGUAACCUCAGGGGAGCCUUAGCCCUCUCUGGGCCUGUUGCCUUAUCUUUGACUGUCUCUGGGGGUGGACAGUUGUCUCAUUUUUUUUGCUCAUUGUCUCUGCUUCAGGGCCUGGGGGAAGGGCCCCAGGGUGGCAUGUGGGCAGCACCGGGGCUCCUGGGGCAGGUGGGCACUGAGUUGGGGCCUCUCCCCACAGUCACUGAUUGUCCCUGGGAAGAGUCCCACAAGGAAGAAGUCGGGCCCGUUCGGUUCACGCCGCAGCAGCGCCAUCGGCAUCGAGAACAUACAGGAGGUGCAGGAGAAAAGGGAGAGCCCCCCGGCCGGCCAGAAGACCCCAGACAGCGGGCACGUCUCACAAGAGCCCAAGUCGGAGAACUCAUCCACUCGGAGCUCCCCAGAGAUGCCCACGACCAAAAACAGAGCCGAGACGGCAGCGCAGAGAGCUGAAGUGCUGAAGGACUUCUCCCGCUCUUCGUCCAGUGCCAGCAGCUUCGCCAGCGUCGUGGAGGAAGCAGAGGGUGUGGACGGGGAUGAUACAGGCCUGGAGAGUGUCUCGUCCUCGGGGACGCCCCACAAGCGGGACUCUUUCAUCUAUAGCACGUGGCUGGAGGACAGCAUCAGCACCACCAGCGGGGGCAGCUCCCCAGUGAGGUGGCUCCCUCCUGCCUCCCUCCCCAGGCCCCUCUCGGUCACCCCACCCAGACGCCGGCAAGUCGGGGGACCCUGCAUGUCCAGAGAUCAAGAUCCAGCUGGAAGCGUCUGAACAGCACACGCCCCAGCUGGGCUGUUAGCCAGGCUGCCCCUCUGAAGGUGACACUGAGCAGAUGAGGCCGCAGAAGCACAAGGUGAAGAUGCUGUGUCAAGUCCAGACAGACGGGACCUCUGCCCCGGAGGCCAGCACCAGUCUGGGGACUGCCCCCUGCCUCCCCAGCCCUCCUCUUGGCCCACUGUCUGGGCUGUCUCUGCAGGGCGGAGCCAUCCAGACCUGGGAGCGGGGAAGCUGCUGGCACCAUCCCCACCCCCUGGGCUGGGGGCCUGGCUGGGGCGGGGGGUGGUCAGUUGAAACAGGACUCCAGGCCUGGCCCUCCCAUCACCCCAGGUGUCCUUCUGGACCCAUGGGGAGUGAACUGGAGGAGGGGGAUUGAGCCGUCUCGGUGGGUACAGAGCUGACCACGGAGGCAGUGGGGUGUGGCAGAGUGGGCACUGGGCUGGAAGUCCUAGCUUCGGAUUUGAGUUGUGCUCUGUGAUUCUGGGCAAAUCACGCUCCCUCUCUGGACACGUGUGCUACGAUGGACGAGAUCCUUUCUGAGGUCACUGAAGACUCUGAUUCCGCUCACCUGCCCCAGAAUGGAGGCUUGUCCUCCGGGGCCUCCCUUCACCCCACCUGCUUCUUGGGGCCCCAGGCGGGCUGAGGGGCUCGACCACAGAUCUGCCGACGCCCUGUCCACUGCCUCCACCUGACACACAAGGGACCCCCUUCUGGGGAAUGGGGGGCCUACCUGGCUUCUCAGCCAGCACCCAGCUUAACCCCUGCCAUUCCAUGCUCCUGGGCACUCCAGGCCGAGGGGGUCUCAGCUGGCCUAGAGUGACGGGCCUCACCUUUGCGCCACCCCCACCCCCAUGGAGGGGACAGCCAGGCACAGCUGCUGUGUGUCCACAUCCUUGUGUGUGUCUGUCCACACUUUUUAGGCACCACGCCAAAGGCCAGCCUUCUGGCCCCAAGACCCAUUUUGGAAGCCCUCCCCUCCACCGUGGCCGUGUGUAUGUCGGUAACAGUUGUACAAAAUAAAUUCUAUUUAUCGCUAUUGUA